AGUAGGUGUCUGGUCAGCGGGUUUGUGGGAUGCCCACCUCAAGAUAUGAGAUGUCCCACCUUCGCGGUCCAUUAUAGAAAAUAACACAGUCGAUAGCCGGCAACUACGCGUAUUGUACACACGGGCGAUAACAAUAAUAAUAAUAAUAAUUGAAAGAGACAGUUGCUUCGAAUUUUUGGUGUGUCCUUUGUGGUUCUUAUUACUCUGCUAUAGACUUUAUUACUGGCAAUUUUUUUUAUUAAUCUUGUGCUGAGAAGUUGCGAGGUGAAAGCAUAAGGCCAUGUCGGCCGAUACCCACAACCUCUCUCACAUUCAAGACGAGGAUGUUCUUCGUAAAAUGUGGCAAGAUACUGAAGAUUUCGGAAAGAAAAAGGAAAUAAGAUCGCACAUGUAUAAACUACGGGAACAACGAUUGAGGGAGUUUUAUAACGGCAGCGAGAUCACAGAAUCCAGAUCGUCAAAAACUACAGGAAAAGUGACGCAAAGCUCUACUCACGCCGAUUCACUCGUCGAUCAAAGCUUUCAGAGCUUUAAGAGCAAAGAAGUCCGAGAUUCAGGAUCAGGAUCACCUACAAGAGAUAUACAUUACAAAGUACCAGGUUCAAACGAAUGGCAGAUUGCAUCGAACAACGAAAUUAGCAAAGACGGCAAAACUAGAAUUCACUCCACAGUAGCGUCGGUACAAGGCACCCAAAAGAUAGAUGGGGGCCAAAUAGAUUUCAAAGGCAAGAAUGAAAAUACGUCUAGCGUCUAUCACCACGCCGAUGAAAACUCGGAAACCAUGAGAACCCAAAGUAGCAGCCAUAGCUCGACUGCUUCCCGUAUGGUACAAUCUCACACGGUGCCUUCAGAACAAAUAGAGUUACCAAGUAAUCUUCAAGGGGUUACCAAAGUGAUACGUGAAACUAAAACGUUACCAGAUGGUUCUAAAGUUACCACAACCAGGUACGAUACCACGAGUGGUUCUUCUCACACCACUAACCAAUCUGCUCAUGUACGGACUUCGCAAGAAUCUUCUUCCAGCCGCCAGGUGAACGAAAGAACGUCUGAAAAUGUUGUUUCUGUAGAUAACAAAGAAGUAGCGAUACCUAGUAAUCUGCAAGGUAUUACUAAAGUCACAAAGGAGACUAAAACACUACCAAAUGGUACAACUGUUAUUUCUACCAGAUACAACACUACCAGUGACAACAUACAAACAGGGCAUAUUAAAACUGCCCAAACUUCAUCAACAACUCAUAUAACAGGAGAAAAACAAGCAACUUUAAACAUUUCAACGCAAAACAAUGAUAACAUCACUACCAAGACAAUUAAAGAAUCUAAAAUUCUUCCUGAAACUUAUACAACAACAUCUGUAACAAAUCAAGUUACUGAUAUAAAAGGUUCUGCUCAAAAUCGACCUCAAGUACCAGAAAACCUUCAAGGAGUAACUAAGAUAACUAAAGAAACAAAAACAUUACCAGAUGGUUCUAUUGAGACAACGACAAAGUACCAUACAGUUAGCGGUACCACUACACAUACAGAAGUUAUAGGAACUGGGAAAAUUUCUAAAGAGCACAGCUCAGUGACAAAUAAAUCUACUAAAAGGUUCGAAGAAAGUGUAGAUAAUCAACAAAAUUACAAAACUGAAAAGAUACACUCAGUAAACAACAAAAUAACGGAUAAUAAAGACAUAAUAAGAACUAAUGUUACCAGUACCCAAGAGGACAAUAGGAAAAAUUUUGUUGAAAAUAACACCAAAGUGACUAAUGUUAACGAAAACAUAAAUAUAACCAGAGUAAGCACUGAUGACAAAGAUACUAAUAAAGUAUAUAGAGUACCCACCAAACAACCGGUGGAACCCAGAGAGUGCGAAAAUAUUGUAACAAAUCAACAUAAUAGAAGAGAAGAAAUAACAACUGACAAUUUUAUAAACACAGAACGUAGACAAGAAGUUUUAACACGGGACAAGUACCCAGAAGAAACGCCUAAAAAUAAACCAAGUGCCCCGAGAGAUAUAAGUCCCACCAAGCCAACAAAAACUUACUAUCAACCUAGUAAGCCAACAGAUGAACCUAGAGAAAGAAGUCCCACCAAACCAACAACAACUGACUAUCAACCUAGUAAGCCAACGGAUGGACAUAGAGAAAGAAGUCCUACCAAACCAACAAAACCUGACUACCAACCUAGUAAACCAACGGAUGGACAGUACGAAACGACUUAUAGAACUGACUACACCAACAGGAAAAUAAGCGUAGAAGUUAGUCCUACUCAUGAUGCAUUCGCAAGGUCUUUAAGGUCUGUCUCACCAGACCGAGUACCUAGCAGAGGCAGUCAUAGAACUAGUAAUUCUUCAAUACCUGAAAAAAUGAGACACCCCUCAAGAAUAUCUCCAGAGCGUACUCAUAAAAAUCGAGGUGGAAGUCCUACAAAAAGCAACGAUAGAUUUUCUAGUACCGACACUUAUAUUUAUAAUAAAAGGAGAAGUACUGAUGAAGGGCCGAAAACAAAGUCGCCUUCUCCAAAAAGAUAUGGUAGUACCGAUACAUUCAGAAAGACAGAAAGUCAAGAAACGAUUACAAUUUCUAAAACAUCAAGACAUGAUGUUACUAAUACUACAUCUAAAAAGAAAGACAUUAAGAGGACAAGUCAACAUUCCCUACCAAGAUCAAGGUCGCCCUCUCCUAGAAAACCUUCUGAAUGCAGAAAAGAAACAUAUGAAAUUGUAACUGACUUGGACGAAGACGUAACUAUAACCACAGAGAAGCAGAAAACUGGUUCCAGACCUAACACUUUAGAGCUUUCGAAGAAACCUAAAAAAAUUACUGACCGUUCACCGUCUUCUCCAUUAUCAGACUUAGGAUCCCCUAAGAAAUCACCUACAAAAGAUCUUAGAAGAACUAGCAGCUUCAAAUCGCCUACUAAAGAUCAUUCUCCAACUAAAUAUCCAACCGACAGUUACAAGGCUCCAAAAGACAAUCUGCCAAAAUCUCCAACAAGGAACCGUCCAGAGGAUCGUCCUUUAAAGAGAACCGAUACAUAUGAAGAACGGUGUCGGCAAAUACUGGGGAUAACAGAAGUAACUGACAAAAGAAGGAGUAGUUUGGAGAGAUCAUCAAGUAAAAGAAGUUCUUUUAGAAGAAAUACUUCGACAAAUAGUGUGGACACAAAUGGAAGCACUAGUCCUACUAAGGACAAACCUAGAAGUCCAACUAAAAGCCCCGUGAAGGAGAGGCCACAGUCAAGAGAUUAUGAAACAACCGAUAUUUCAACUAGAACAACAACAGAGACAACUACUACAAGUAUUGAAGGAAAACCUCGAAGUCCAUCAAAGAGUCCAGUAAAAGAAAGACCACUAUCCAGAGAAUAUGACGAUAAACCUAGAAGUCCAACGAAAGAAAGACCACGUUCAAGGGAUUUUGAAACAACUAAUAUUGUCACAACAAACAAAAUCGUGGACACGAAUAAAAUACCUAGACCUGCUGAAGGAAAACCUGGACCAACAAAGAGUCCAGUAAAAGAAAGACCACUAUCCAGAGAAUAUGACGAUAAACCUAGAAGUCCAACGAAAGAACGACCACGUUCAAGGGAUUUUGAAACAACUAAUAUUGUCACAACAAACAAAAUCGUGGACACGAAUAAAAUACCUAGACCUGCUGAAGGAAAACCUGGACCAACAAAGAGUCCGGUAAAAGAAAGACCAAGUUCAAAAGCUUUUGAAACCACUGACAUAGUUUCAACAACCACAAUAGUGGAUACAACUGAAAUCACUAGACCUACUGAAGGUAAACCUAGAAGUCCAUUAAAGGAAAGACCUGUUUCCAGAGAUUAUGACACCACAGAUAUUACUACAACGACUAACACCGUGGACACAACUGAAAUCACUAGACCUACUGGAGGUAAUCCUAGAAGUCCGAUGAAAGAAAGACCACGUUCAAGAGAUUAUGAAACAACUGAUAUUGAUACAACGACCAAAACAGUUGACACAACUGAAAUCACUCGUACACAAGAGAAACAUACCGACAUUUCAUCAACCAAAACAAAGGACAUAACUGAAAGCACUGAAACCAUUAGACCUACUAAAGAAAAACCUAAAAGUCCUGUAAAGGAAAAACCACGUACCAGAGAUACUGAAACCCAAGACAUUGUGUCAACCACCGAAACAGAAGAAACUACUAUUAUCACCAGUGACCUCUAUAAACCUAAAAAGAGACCACAAAGUCCAACUAAAGGAGAGAAACCCGAAUCAGUCCAAAAAAGGCCUGAUAAAAAGGGUCCAAAUAAAUACCCUGACAACGAACAUACUACGAAUGUCCAAAAAACUACAGAACAAGUUGACGUUUAUAAUAAGGAAGAAAUUAUAAUAACUGAUGAAGAAUAUAAAACGCCACAUCAACCAAUAACAAAACCAAAUCAAAAGACACAUCCACAGACAACUGUUGAUCAAACAGACCAAACUAUUUUUUCCAAAACCUCGAAAGAAAACAUUUCUAGAAAAGACAUUAAAAAUGUGACAGAAGACAUCACAGAACAACAAGAGGUAGAAAUCGUUACCAGGAAACCUAUAAACGAAACUGUUGAUGAUAGUCCUAAAAAGAGAGGACCUGGCAUUACUGAAUUCCCAUCCCAAAAGAAGCCACAGAAACAUACGCCUACGAAUUUAAUUCCGUCUAAAACAGUUGAUACAACAGAAGAAGACAAUGAAGUUGUUACUGAAGAAACAACUAUCUAUGAUGACAAUAAACCAUCCAGUAAAGGUCCAUAUACGAAAGAAAGACCAAAGACCACAACUGAUAGACACAAAACUAGCACAACAGAAUUCAUAAUGCAGGAAAAAUUAAGCACAGACAUAAACUCGAGUACUGAAGUUUUAAUCGAUGAAUCAGAACGACCAGUACCUACCAAAAAGACACCAAAAGUCAAAGAGACCCGCCCUCAAAGUACACCAUCGGGAAAACCAAUUACAUCAACCACAUAUACUGAAAAUGUACUUAAUGUGGAAGAAAUUGUUGAUACUAAUACGUUAGAACGCAAACCAUCAAAGCCUACAACUACAGACGACAAGCCAACAAAGAAAGAACUUACUGAAUAUCCAGCACAAUCCAAAUUGAAACCCAAAGACACUACUACAAAGAUUACAACUACUGAAAUCAUCAAUAAGGAAACAACAAAACCUGGUGAAAAGAAAGAACCAACAAAAAAGACACCAAUAACCGAGUUUCCAUCUCAAAUUCGCAAAGAACCAAAAACCACUACUAAAACUAGCACUUCAAUAACUGAAGAUAUCUCCGUAGAAGAAAUAACAAGGAAAUUCACGAAGCCUUCUCCUGGAAACAAAAAACCAACCAAACAGGGUCCAGAUACACAGGAAAAACCUUUAAAACCAAAUAAGGAAACAGUAAAGACAACAGAGAAAGAAAAAAUUAUCAAAACUAGCAAAGACAAGGUUACUGACGAAGAAGAAACCAUCAUUGAUGAAUUAAUAGUAGUGGAUGAUUCUGAUGUUCCAAAAGUUACCAUCGGUAAACCGAUUCCUAAGGACGAAAAACCUAAAAAAUUACCUAAACAACAUGCUGUUGAUAAAACAACAGAAUAUUCAGAUGACGAUGUUGAUUUUACCCAAGAAGUUAUAGUUACAGAUGAAUUUGAAAUUGUAAAUAUUCCAAAACAGAAACCCAAGCAGGAAAUCCCUCAGUAUACUUCACAAACUAGAAAACCCAUCACUAAAAACAUCUCUAAAGAAAAUAUUACCCCUACAAAGGAAAAAUCAUCAAAAGUUAAAAAACCUACCAACAAAGAACCUACUGCUACAGAAAAAUUCUUUGAACCUAUCGAUUAUGCGAAUAUGGUACCUGUUGAGGAACCAUUGAUGAUCAAAAAAGAUAUAGACACAAGUUGUCCUCAUGAUAUUAGGUACGCAUCGAAAACCACUAAAAACUUUAUCGAAAAAGAACAAAAAGAAAUCAAUGAAAAUGUAAAUUUACAGAGAAGACCUGUUAAACCAGAAAAGGAAACUCCUUUGCAUAAAACGCAAAUUAGUACCACAGCUAAGAAACCUCAAAAACAACCUGAGAGGAAAUUAGAUAAACCCAGUACAAGAAAACCGGUCAAUGGUAUAACUGAAUAUCAAGAUCAAUACUCUCCUAAUCUUAAACCAAAAUCAACUCCUACUAAAUCGAAGACCAUAGAACCAACAACAGUAUUUAAACCGUCAAAUAAAAUAAAUUCUAUACCUACUAAACCUACUACAAAGGUUCAAGUUAAUGGGUUCCAUAAGCCAGAAAAACCCAAAACACCUCAGGACACAAUAAAAUCUUCCACUGUUGUCGUAAAUACAGUGAGGGUACCAAAACAGUCUGUUGUAGAAACAAUAACAACAAAGAAGACUACAAAAACCAUUAACCUAAAAGAAAAUGAACCAUCCGAGCCAACAAAGUUAAGAAAACCAUUACCAAGCAAAGGUCCUGUAAAGCCUUCUGCUAAACCAUCGCAUCCCGAUCAUUCAACCAAAAAGCAUCUAGUUACGACUACAAUAACACUAAAGACCAAUACUCAACCAGUAACUACGAAACCAAAAGUAUCAAAAACAACAACUACAACGGUUACAAAGUCACAAAAGAACAGGGUUGUUGAUUUGAAACAAAAACGUGUGAAUGAGUAUGUUUCAACUGAUACUGACGAAGAAGAAACAAUAGAAACUGUCGAUGUAACGAAAAGAAAUGGUACCAAAAGACAACCAGAAAAAUGUAUAACAACGAAAACCGUUAUCAUAAACAACAAUACACAACCGAGGCAAAUAGUGGUAGAUCUACAACGUUCAAAGUCUUCGAGAGAACCAACACCAGAUAAAAUAUGUCCAGUGCCUACAGAGUACGGAGGCUAUGGAUCACCAAGAUAUCCUGACGAAAUUGAAGAACCCGAUGAUGUUAACGUAAGGAAACCACCGAAGAGACUUUCGGACAUACCUUUAUUGGAAUCAGAAGAUGUUACCAACUUUAGCAGAAUAACAGAAAUCUCAGACACUAAAGUAGUUACUGAUAUCGAUAAAGUAGAAACAACAGACGAGAGUCUCUUGAGCGUUAAUAGAAAGAUCAAUUUGUUCCUAGACACUGCUGAUAAACUCACCAAAACUGGUAAAGGCCCAUCUGGUCCAGCUCCUAAAGUAGAACGACCCAAAUUGGAAGUUACACAAGAUCUGGAAUCAGAUGAGUGUCUUUUGAGCGUGUCAGAAAAGGUUAACAAGUUCAUAAACACUGCUGAUCAAUUUAUGAAUGUUCGGGAUUUGCCAGAGAGACCAAAAAGUCCUAGGUGUAAGUUUAAUAACGAUAAAAUUUCUUCUAAUAACUUUAUUACCACCGAACAAAAGACAAUUCAGAAAGAAAACCUAACUAAUGAGACUCGAAAAGUAUCUUUAGAAAAUUUAAACACUGUCGAUACCUAUAGAAAAUCUGCGCCCACUGAUAUUAAAAAAGAACCGAAAUCUGUGACUAGAGCUGAAAAACCAGGCGACAAUAAACCUGUGGACAAGAAACCUAGCAAAUCUCCAGUUAGAGAGAGCCAGAAAACACAACCAGAGCUUGUUGAUCAAAAGUAUCCUAAUUAUAGUACUAUAACUAAACGAGUAUCUUUAGAAAAUCUUGAAAUUCAAACCAGUGUUAAAAAUACAGAAGAUAUUCGCAGAAAAUCCCCUGAAAGAGUAUCACCAACACAUACCAAACGUCCUUCAGAUAGAAACGUAUCUCCUGAAGAUACAAGAAACAAACCAAGUGAAAGAUCGUCUCCAGAUCGAUUAUCGCCCACAAGAAUUACUCCCAGUCAUCCUGGAACACCAAAUAGGCGUCCACCGAAUGAAUACACGUCAAUUAAAUCCAUAAAAACCCAAGACGUAAAAUCUACGACCAAAGAGGUCAGUACUACUCCAAAGAGUAGCAAAAGUAAACCAGCGGAGGACAAGAAAAAUAUUCUAAGUACUACCGGUCGUCUUAGGAGUACAGAAAGUAUUAAGAAGGCUAGAGCUCUCUUUGAAAACAUCAACAAGGAAGCAGAAAAAGCAAAUAACAAAUCUCCUAUUUGUACUAAGAAAGAAACUGUCGUUAGGAAACUUAGUUAUUCGAGUGAGGAUGACUUAAAACAGACUAGAACUACAAAAUCUAGAUCUAACUCACCUGACAAACCAAUAGGAGAUGUACCUCAUUAUAUGUUACCUUUAGAUAGACCUUCCAAACCCAAAUCGGAAUCUCCUGAAAGAAGGACUUCAAGACCAAGAUCGCCUGAUGGAAGUGAGUCUGGUGGUAUUCCCCAUUAUAUGUUGCCAUUGGACAGACCCAAGACUCAUACACCUAGAUCUAAAUCUCCUGAUAGAGAUAGCUUAAGAUCCUGUUCUCCGAAUGUCAGACAUGAAACUGGAGAGGUUCCUCAUUAUAUGCUACCUUUAGAUAGAACCCCUGAACCAGACAGAGAAGUUCCAAGGCAUAAACAACAUCUUACACGGACUGAACCAGGUGUUACUCCACACUAUAUGUCACCUUUGCACAAACCUAACACUCAUGUCCCAAGAUCUAAAUCUCCUGAUAGAGAAAGCUUAAGAUCCUGUUCUCCGAAUGUAAGACAUGAAACUGGAGAAGUUCCUCAUUACAUGUUACCUUUAGAUAGAACCCCUGAACCAGACAGAGAAGUUCCAAGGCAUAACCAACAUCUUACAAGAACCGAACCUGGUGUUACUCCUCACUAUAUGUUACCAUUAGAAAAUCCUAAGGCUCAUAUACCCACUGAACCAGACAGAGAAAUUCCAAGGCAUAAACAACAUCUUACUAGGACAGAACCUGGCGUCACUCCUCACUAUAUGUUACCACUAGAGAAUCCUAAGGCUCAUACACCUAGAUCCAAAUCUCCUGACAGAGAAAGCUUAAGGUCCUGUUCUCCGAAUGUGAGACAUGAAACUGGAGAAGUUCCUCAUUACAUGUUACCUUUAGAUAGAACUCCUGAACCAGACAGAGAAGUUCCAAGGCAUAAACAACAUCUUACAAGGACUGAACCUGGUGUUACUCCUCACUAUAUGUUACCAUUAGAAAAUCCCAAUUCUCAUAUACCCACUGAACCAGACAGAGAACUUCCAAGGUAUAGACAACAUCUUACAAGGACAGAACCUGGUGUUACUCCUCACUAUAUGUUUCCAUUAGAGAAUCCUAAGGCUCAUAUACCUAGAUCCAAAUCUCCUGACAGAGAAAGCUUGAGAUCUUCUUCUCCUCAUGUUCGACAUGAAACUGGAGAAGUCCCUCACUAUAUGUUACCUUUAGAUAGAAGCCAGACGCCCAGUGAGCUAGAUAGAGACGUUAAUAUUCCCAGGCAUAAACAAUAUGUCACAAAUAGUACUCCACAUUAUAUGUCACCUUUGCACAGACCUAAAACUCACACACCCAGGUCGAAUUCUCCUGAUAGAGAAAGCCUAAGAUCUUGCUCUCCAAAUAUCAGACAUGAAACUGGAGAAGUACCCCAUUACAUGUUACCGUUAGAUAAAAGGCAUAUGCAUAGUACACCUAGACCUAAAUCACCAGACCGUGAUACUCCUAGACACAAGUCACCUGAAUCUGGUGAUACUCCUCACUAUAUGUUACCUCUAGAUAGAGACGCUAGACCUAGCAGACCGAGAUCUAAAUCACCUGGAGGGGAUAGUCCAAGGCAUACUUCACCUGACGUUCGUUCUGAAGCCAGUGAUGUUCCUCAUUACAUGCUCCCAUUAGACAGAAACGUCCACUACAAAGACAAACCUAUCACAACCUCAAAACCUGAGAGUCCCAAUAAUAAAUUUGGUGUUACACUGAAGAAAGUGCAUCCUGACAAGCCCGUUACAAAAACUACUAAUACUAAAGUGACUACAGAAAGAAAAACCAGUAAUGUCGAAAAUAUAACUGAAGAAGAAAUCGAAGAUAUUUUUGAAAUAGAAGUCUUGGAGGAACUGCUCCAAAGAGUAACCAGUUACGAAAUACGCAGAGUAAUAAGAACCCAAAUUAAAUUGGUAAAGAAACUAAUAACAGAAAAUAGGCUAACGAUUUAUAUACAAGAAAGAAAACAAUCAAAGAUUAGGAAAGACCGUUCAGAAACAAUUACCCAAAAUGUUGAGUAUCAUUCAAGUUAUAAACAAACACGUAAAUCCUCCACAGAUCGGACUGUAGAGACUAGAACUCGCAGUCCUCAAAGGACACCAAGUCCAACUAGGCAACCAAAGAAUCAAUUUUACAGACCAAAUGAAAAGAGACAAAGUCCUCAACGAACAUCCAGUCCAACAAAACCAUCGAACGAAAAUAAUCUUAUAAAAACUACAACAACAACUAAUACAACAAUCCGAACAUCAACUCCAAGGGAAAUAGUCAGAAAACCUGGAGAAAGAUCUAGUCCAGAAAGACAGUCUCCUCAAAGGCAAGCUAGUCCAACUCGUACUCAAACUACUGUUCAAAGCAGCUACAGGCUUACAAGUAGCAGUGAUGUACCCACAACUAAACAAAUUACUAGAAAAACAGAGGAGCUACGAAGAUUUAGUCCAGAAAGAGUUUCCUUAGUUGAAACUACCUCGAGAACUGAACAAGUACGAAAAACAUCAACGGAAAAAAGUACUCUACAUACCAAAACUACAAGCCCAGAAAGAAAUGUACCUCAAAAGAAGGAACCAAGGCAUUCUAGUCCAGAUAAGAAGGGUCCUAAAAGUGGACACUCCAUUCUGAAGAAAACAGAAGUGCAGCAAAAAAAAGUGGAGGAAAAGAAGCCUGAGUGGGUCACCAACAGGAAUCUGAAGAAAGUUACGGGUUCAAACGAACAAGUACGAACUACGAGUAGUAGUAAAAAGACUGUUAAAGAAGAAAAGAUUGUCCAAAAGAAGUCCAGUGAGUAUGAACCUACUGAUUUGAUUACGUCUAGUUACGGUGUUGGACCUACUGAUGAAAAUGGUACUCCCUUAUUUGGACUGAAGGCAUUGAGACAAACCAACAACGGCACAACUAAAGUUCAAGGCACCUUUAUCACAAGUGAAUACUACUCAGAAAACGGCCAGGAACCCGUGGGACAAAUAAGCGUAACGAAUUAUUCGACCGACCCGAGAGAUUUGAGUACCGAGGAACAAAUUCAAAAUAACAAGCUAGUAACAAGCGUAACAACUACUCAGAAAUUCGGAUACGAAGAUUCACCUUCGUUAGAGACCCUAACAAAAAAUAAACGUCCGACCAAACAAAUAGAAGAUUCUGUAGCAGAAGGCAACAGAACGUCAAAUUUCAAACGACAGAACUCAGUGAAGGCUAUUUCUCAGAAAUUCAUUGAUUCGGCAGUGGAAUCUUUAAAAAAUGAACGGCAAACGUCCUACCCAAAGGCAGGUCUGAUUUUGCGCACUUCCAGUUUCAAGGAUUCUAAAAACGACUCUAAUGAAGAAGAUAUCACGUCAGGUAUCGUUACUACUACUAAAACAUCUAAACAAACCACUACGAAAAAAUCUACGAGUGAAGGAGGUGGUACCUUUCUUAGUAACAAAUCUACCAUUUCCGGUGUGACUGAUGUUAUCAGCAGAAUGAAGACUGAAGAAUAUGAAGAAGGUGACAGUUCUGAAGACAUAGAAGCAAGAAGUUUGCUGAACAAGUUUAUAGGAUCUCAAGUGAUACUUUCAGGAAUGGAAAAUAGAGGGACAGCGAUAACAACAACAAAAUCCAAAAUUUCAACAUCAGAAUUGGUACCAAGGACGACGAGUAAAAAAACGAUCAAACUGACGACAACUGUAACGGAGGGUGGAAAAACUAAAACCAAAACCUUAGUCUUUCAAAGUCCCAUCACAGAAGAGGAAUUAGAAAACAUCUGGGACGAAAAAAUUCUUCGAUUAUUGCUUGAACAAAGCACAGAAUACGAAGAAAGGCGAAUCAUCAGGAAUAGGUUACGCAGCGUAAUGGCAGAACAAGAAGCUUGUGCAGAUCUGGUACAGAAGGCAAGCCAGGAACAAGCCAGCGGAAAAAUAGAGGAAAGCGUGACUGUUGAAAAAUCGUCGAGUGAGACACCGACAACUACUACUACAACCAAAGUUACGAAAAUUAGUACCCAACAACAGGUAACCAAAAAGCCUCUAUCGCCAUUCGCUAAAUUUCAACAAUUGGACAAACAAAACAGUACCACUACUCCACCAGGAACGUUCAACUAGACAACUUCUCCACCAGCUGGGCGGACGGACUUGCAUUUUGUGCCCUCAUCCACCAUUUCCUGCCAGACGCCUUCGACUAUCAUGCGUUAACGCCAAAAGAACGAAGACACAAUUUCGAACUUGCCUUCAAAGUUGCCAGUGACAAGGCGGACAUUUUUCCUCUCCUUGACGUUGACGAUAUGAUGGCCACCAGAAGGCCUGAUUGGAAAUGCGUCUUCACAUAUGUCCAGUCCAUUUACCGACGCUUCAAAGAUGAAGAAAUCUAAAAAUAUUUACAAUAUUAUGUGUUUUGUGUUUGUUUUUGUACAAA
rnacentral:misc_RNA from 1 species